UACGAAGGGAGCUAGCGUUGUUCGGAAUCACUGGGCGUAAAGCGCACGUAGGCGGAUGUGUCAGUCAGGGGUGAAAUCCCGGAGCUCAACUUCGGAACUGCCUCUGAUACAGCACGUCUUGAGUCCGAUAGAGGUGGGUGGAAUUCCUAGUGUAGAGGUGAAAUUCAUAGAUACAAUCAAGAACACCGAUUGCGUAGGCAGCUAACUAGGUUGUAACUGACGCUGAGGCACGAAAGCGUGGGGAGCGAACAGG
rnacentral:rRNA from 1 species